GUCACAAAAUACAGCUUGUAGCUCCACCACAAGCAAAUAUUCCUUGUUUUCCUGUUAAUCCUUCGUGAGUUUUUUCUGUUUAGUAGUCCGACCCUGUCCUUGUCAAAAGAACUCACACGUUUAUGCUGUUAUGUCUGUCAUCCAACUGUCAUAUUGUUUGUUUGCAGCGGUUUGAACGUGUACUUGUUUGCAAGAAAGUACGCAAAGCAAAUUAAAAAGGUAACCCAGAGAGGACCGUUAAACCAUAAAUUAGUAAAUGUUCGUGUCCGUUUCUCAAAUUCAUAGGUUUUAUAUGCUUGGCCUAAAUCGAUGUCGUUCUUUCUGUCCGUGUCCAUCAAAGGAAAUAGAAGUGCGCGACGUGAUCCUAAAGUUAAAGUUAAAACUUAAAAGUUACGAUAGUAGUAGAUCUUAAAAACUAUUAUCACAGUUCGAAGUAGUACGAAUAUAAUAAGCCACAAGAAGAGUGAAGAAGCA